AGAAACUUGAACUGGUGGGAGUCAGAAGACUGCUCAGCUGGGAAGAGACACUAAAGGAAAUGGGGAGACAAAGCAAAGGAAACUGAGGCCGAAAGAGACUGUGAAACUUGGGCAAGGAACUGCUAUACUAACAGCUAGUCACCCUCGGUUGCCAGGCAGGUUAAAGGAGCAGCUUGCACAUGAGAAGGAUUUAACACAGUUCCUGGUUUGCAUGGCUGGCGUGGAAAGAAUACGAAAUUCUGGAAUCUAUUUCCCUGCCAGUAAUGGGUACACCUUCUCCUUUCAACGAUAAAAGCAUCUCAGGCAUAGAGAUGAAUGCUAACGAUAGAAAAUGAAUGAGGCAUGGACCCCCAUCUUCAAGGAUUUCACAGGCUAGCAGCAAAAGGUGCAAGAAUGACUAAUUCCAGUCUAUUAUUUAGUCCCCAUAUGGAGCCUUUUGCUAUGAGGCUUUGAAGUUCUUCCAAACAGAAUGUUCCCCCAUUGAUGUUGGACUUGCUUUGCCCAGUGGGUGGAACUGACUGGGCACCAGCUCCUACCUAGACUUCAAGAAGCAUCAUGUGUUUCUAUAUGCUAAUCUGGAAACUUUCAGUCUCCAUCAGGAAAGGAAUGUUUCCGAAGGAGCACGCUGUCCUCAGAAGAAUGAGACAUCCAUGGAGCAGACCUGAAUGAAACCCACAGUCUGCAGUCAAGCCCAGCUGAGCCCAGCCGAGUCCAGCCAAGAUUAGCCAACCCCUCAGCCCAUGGAGCAAUGUGUAAGCCAUGGAGUUUUAGCGUGGCUUGUUAUGCAGCAUUAUUACAGGAACGGCUAACCGAUACACUGGCAUAUUCCACCCGCAUCUAGAUACAGCCCAUCUCUGUUUAAAGACACUUCUGAAGAAAGUGGGCUGGGCUAAUACGCUGUACAUUAUCUGGAAAGUGGGAUAAUACAAUUUGAAGUUUAUGAUGAUUAAAUGUAGCCCAGUUUCACCAAAUGUGGACGUCAUCUCAUCAACUGGAAGUUGCUGAUGAAUUUCCAUCCAGAAUUAAAGUACUCAAGUCUCUUACAUAAGAAAUCAAUCAACUAUUGAUUCUGUGGGGAUGGCAUGUAUUAUAAUAAAAUGCUAAGUAGACAG